UACAGAGGGGGCAAGCGUUAUUCGGAAUUAUUGGGCGUAAAGGGCGCGUAGGCGGCCAACUAAGUCGGACGUGAAAUCCCCAGGCUCAACCUGGGAACUGCGUCCGAUACUGGAUGGCUUGAAUCCGGGAGAGGGAUGCAGAAUUCCAGGUGUAGCGGUGAAAUGCGUAGAUAUCGGAAGGAACGCCGGUGGCGAAAGCGACGCACUGGACCUCUUCUGACGCUGAGGCGCGAAAGCUAGGGGAGCAAACGGG
rnacentral:rRNA from 1 species